rnacentral:rRNA from 1 species
CGAACGCUGGCGGCGUGCCUAAUACAUGCAAGUAGAACGCUGAAGGUAGAGCUUGCUCUUCUGGAUGAGUUGCGAACGGGUGAGUAACGCGUAGGUAACCUGCCUGGUAGCGGGGGAUAACUAUUGGAAACGAUAGCUAAUACCGCAUAAUAGUAGAUGUUGCAUGACAUUUGCUUAAAAGGUGCAAUUGCAUCACUACCAGAUGGACCUGCGUUGUAUUAGCUAGUUGGUGAGGUAACGGCUCACCAAGGCAACGAUACAUAGCCGACCUGAGAGGGUGAUCGGCCACACUGGGACUGAGACACGGCCCAGACCUCCUACGGGAGGCAGCAGUAGGGAAUCUUCGGCAAUGGACGGAAGUCUGACCGAGCAACGCCGCGUGAGUGAAGAAGGUUUUCGGAUCGUAAAACUCUGUUGUAAGAGAAGAACGAGUGUGAGAGUGGAA